ensembl:lncRNA
UUAUAGCUCUUUUAGUAUGAUAUAGUGAGAAUAUUGAGCUCAUACUUGAGGAGUGAAAAACGCUCUGGUUACUAACAUAACCUCAGUUCCCUGAGAUAAGGAAACGAGUGUUGCAUUGAAUGCUAUGGGUAAACUCCUGUUUACUCUGAAUACUGAAGCAUCCAAUAGUGUUGUGCUAUAAGCAAGUGCAGAACGAAGCUGCCCUGCAAGUCCCACCCAGAAGCGCCUGUCCAGAGGGCUCCAACAAACAUGAACUAAUUUGAGCCUCAAGACAUUAGGCUGGGGACUACAUAACAGGACCUUCUCCACUCUUAGAGGGGAUUAGGCAAUUUAAACAGACAAAAUCCAGAGGGCGAAACCCUUCCCGAAAUAAUAAACCCUGGUGAAGGUGGAUGGCGAUGACCAGCCGGCAGCCGCACAGAUAUCAUCAAUAGAAAUCUCACUGGACCAAGCCCAGGAGGAGGCCAUUCUCCUGGUGGAGUGGGCCUUUACUCCUAUAGGACACUGUAAGCCCAAUGAGGCAUAAGCCAGGGCUAUAGCGUCGACUAUCCAAUCAGCAGCCCUUUUGAGUGACCUCCAAAGCAUACAAAGAACUGCUCUGAGUGCCAAAACGAGCCAGAGCGCUCCAUACACUAAGAUUCAAGACCGGGCAGAGUGGAUUGGGACCCUGCUCAUCCUCUGAAUUGGGAAGAGCCAGAAGGGCCAUCAGUUAAUGGGAACUAUCUGACCAGACGAACAUGAUAACUUAUCAGAGCGCGGUUGCCAAGGACAUGGCUAGCGCUGGGAGACAGAAGAGAAAGCAGACAAGCAGGCAUUUAACACACAGAUCGUUGUGAUAUUGUCACAGUUACAGGACAAUACGCAGGAUGUACUGCACAGACUGACCACACUAGAACUUCUCACAGCAUCACCAGCUGAAAUCAUUCCCCUCAAAGCUUGGCACUCUUAAGUCACCAAAAAAGAGGUUGCCUCGGUGGCCUUUAAACAUAUCCCCUAUCACUGUAGUGCUGACAGUUAUCUGGCCCUUUGCUGUGCACUGGCUGGUGCAGUUUUACUUACAGAAAAGGAGGAG